rnacentral:piRNA from 1 species
UAAGAAGUGAUACUUUUUCUU